rnacentral:misc_RNA from 1 species
UUUCCGUAGGUGAACCUGCGGAAGGAUCAUUAGUGAAUUGAAUAUGCUAGCGGACCUCUUCGGAGUCCCUAGCAUCAAAUCAUAUCCAUAACACCUGUAACUGUAAGGCUGUCUUGAAAACGAAAGUGAUUAGAGCGCCUGCCCAUUUUAUACAAACAUUAAAGUAACAAACGUAGUCUUAUUAUAAUCUAAUAAAACUUUCAACAACGGAUCUCUUGGCUCUC